rnacentral:lncRNA from 1 species
UAUAAAAAUAUAAUUGUAUAUUUUACUAUAAAAUAAUAUUAAGAAUUGUAAAAAAUAAAUUUAUGUUUUAUCAGAGCGAGUGCAGUUUCCUGUAACCUUGAGGAAGCGUAAAGGAAUAUCUAGGGAAGUUUUAAAGUAUGAACGCCUACACAUGAACGAUAAGAAAUUAUUUGAACGAACGAUCGUUCUUCUGUAAAUUUCAAUGGUUAUAAAUCAGAUAGGCAAGUAUAAUCUUGUAAGAAAGAAUGAACCGAUUGUCCACGGCAAGUGUUCAUGCGCAUAUGUUUAUGUAUAGUACAUUCAUCUUUUUUAUUUUUCAUUUUGCAAGAUCAAAGUUAUUAGUCAUCAUCUAAACGAGAAUGGAAGGAUGAAAUUUGAAUAUCGUUGAUUGGAAUUUAUCAAACAAAAUUUAAGAAGAAGCAAUAAAAUAAAUAAAUCUAAGUGAUCCAGAAUUUUCAAAUACGAGUCUUUUGAAAUAUGGAUGUAUAACAGAAGGGAAAAAAUUGGAUUUGUGGAUGAAAAAAAGCAGCGAUUGAAAAUCGAAGACUUAACGACGAAGGAUAGCUGCUGGCCAAUAUGUUGCUUAAAGUAAACAUGCAAGAGGAAAGUAAUAAUGGAUCGACGAUGAAUUCGCAUGAAUACGUGAAUCAAGUGAGGAAGAAAAGCAACGAUGGACUCGUCUGUUGCAUACAACGUGCGUCAUCGGUAACAAAAAAAUUCAA